GGCUUAUAGUUUAAUUGGUUGAAACGUACCGCUCAUAACGGUGAUAUUGUAGGUUCGAGCCCUACUAAGCCCAUCUGACCUGCUUAAUCAAUGACUCCGGUAGUCACCUGAACCACUCUCUCGGAUAGCCCACAGCCUCUCUUCUGGAUGCGAAAGAAGAUUCGAUCAACGUACAAGGUUUGCCUUCUUGUGAUGUGAGAAGGAGGGUUCUUAAUUGUGUUCUCAGUGCAAAAGGAGUCUGGUUCAGUGAGUCUGAAGAGAGAGAAGAUCAGUAGAGCAGUUCGGGGCUUUGGGAUUUGCCUGAUCGACCCCUACCAGUGUAUUAAAUGAAGAUUGACAUUCGUAUGUACAAUUUACCGGUUCUUCCUCCCGAAUUGAGACCCAUUGUUUAUAGGUCUGGGGAUAAAGUAAAGUAUCGUAAAGUUAAGUUAAGUAUCGUAAAGUAGUUGACAAAGCAAGUAGGAAUAGGUCAUGUCACAGAUAGGCAAGUAUAGAAGCAGGAGAAGCUGAUAGACAUUUGUGAAUAGCAAGGCCAAGCUGUAUACAUAUAAGCAUUUUAAGGAGUUGUUUGUUGGCAUAUGGUUUGUUGUCACCACGGGAUGCUUAUUGUUGAGAAACAUAAAAAAGGUAGGCAUAUUGUUCAGUUCACGUUUAGGUCAGUAUAGAAGUAAAGCACGAGAUAGGUGUUUACAAGCUAGCUAGGGUUUCUAAUAG
rnacentral:lncRNA from 7 species